rnacentral:rRNA from 1 species
AACGAACGCUGGCGGCAGGCUUAACACAUGCAAGUCGAGCGUCCUCGCAAGGGGGCGCGGCAGACGGGUGAGUAACGCGUGGGAACAUACCUUUCGGUUCGGAAUAACCCAGGGAAACUUGGGACAAUACCGGAUACGUGCGAGAGCAGAAAGAUUUAUCGCCGAAAGAUUUGGCCCGCGUCCGAUUAGCUAGUUGGUGAGGUAACGGCUCACCAAGGCGACGAUCGGUAGCUGGUCUGAGAGGAUGAUCAGCCACACUGGGACUGAGACACGGCCCAGACUCCUACGGGAGGCAGCAGUGGGGAAUAUUGGACAAUGGGCGCAAGGCCUGAUCCAGCCAUGCCGCGUGAGUGAUGAAGGCCCUAGGGUUGUAAAGCUCUUUCGCCAGGGACGAUAAUGACGGUACCUGGAUAAGAAGCCCCGGCUAACUUCGUG